rnacentral:rRNA from 1 species
GGAUAGAUGAACCCAGGCGAUGGUUGUCCUGGGGUAAAUGUGUAGGAUGGUUAAUAGGCAAAUCCGUUAACCUUAUAUCUGAGACAUGAUGCCGAGCCGCUUUUAGGCGAAGUCAUUGAUUCCAUGCUUCCAAGAAAAACUUCUAGUUAGUUUUAAUAGUGCCCGUACCCCAAACCGACACAGGUGGACAAGUAGAGAAUACUAAGGCGAGCGAGAAAACUCUGGUUAAGGAACUCGGCAAAAUAGCUCCGUAACUUAGGGAGAAGCAGCGCCCUAGUAAAGUGAUCGAUUAACUUCGUAAGCUUGAAUGGGUUGCAAUUAUCAGACUCAAGCGACUGUUUAUCAAAAACACAGGAGGGUGCAAAGUUCUAAUACAACGUAUACCCUCUGACACCUGCCCGGUGCUGGAAGGUUAAGUGGAUAGGUUAGCUUCGGCGAAGAUCUGAAAUGAAGCCCCAGUAAACGGCGGCCGUAACUAUAACGGUCCUAAGGUAGCGAAAUUCCUUGUCGGGUAAGUUCCGACCUGCACGAAUGGUGUAACGAUUUGAGUACUGUCUCAACCAGAGACUCGGCGAAAUUGCAAUGUGAGUAAAGAUGCUCACUAUGCGCGACAGGACGGAAAGACCCCGGAACCUUUACUGCAACUUGAUAUUGAUGUUUAAUGUGCAGUAUGCAGGAUAAGUGGGAGACUUUGAUUUAGAUGCGCUAGUGUCUAAUGAGUCAUCCUUGAGAUACCACUUUCUUCAUAUUGAGCUUCUAACCUAGAUCCGUAAUCCGGAUCAGGGACAUUGUCUGGUGGGCAGUUUCACUGGGGCGGUGGCCUCCUAAAAAGUAACGGAGGCGCUCUAAGGUCACCUCAGCGUGGACGGCAAUCACGCAUUGAGUGUAAGUGCAAAAGGUGGCUUGACUGUGACACAAACAAGUGGAGCAGGUACGAAAGUAGGAACUAGUGAUCCCAUGGUUGCAUGUGGGUGCGCCAUGGCUCAUCGGCUAAAAGGUACUCCGGGGAUAACAGGCUUAUACCCCCCAAGAGUCCAUAUCGACGGGGGUGUUUGGCACCUCGAUGUCGGCUCUUCUCAUCCUGGGGCUGGAGCAGGUCCCAAGGGUUAGGCUGUUCGCCUAUUAAAGAGGAACGCGAGCUGGGUUCAGAACGUCGUGAGACAGUUCGGUCCCUAUCCGUCGCGCACGCAAGAGUUUUGAAGAAAGUUGUCCCUAGUACGAGAGGACCGGGAUGAACGAACCGCUGGUGUGCCAGUUGUCCUGCCAAGGGCAAGGCUGGUUAGCUACGUUCGGAAAGGAUAAGCACUGAAAGCAUCUAAGUGCGAA